GUGCAUGCGAUCGAUGUUCAAGCGACUGUUCGGUCGUGCGUGACUGCGGCGGCGGUCCCUAAGCUCUCUCGCGGUUGAAGCCAGAGGGAAGACGGGCGCCACGCGCCGCGUGAAGGGGCCGGUGGCCGCCGGUCCCUUCACAGC
rnacentral:antisense_RNA from 1 species